GCGUCUGUAGUCUAGUUGGUAAAGGCAGCCUAGUAAGCUGAGGUUGUGAGUUUGACUCUCACCAGACACA
rnacentral:tRNA from 1 species